rnacentral:tRNA from 1 species
GCGCCCGUAGCUCAGCUGGAUAGAGCACCAGACUACGAAUCUGGGGGUCAUGGGUUCGAAUCCUGUCGGGCGCGCCA